rnacentral:rRNA from 1 species
AGUGAACGCUGGCGGUAGGCCUAACACAUGCAAGUCGAACGGCAGCACAGUAAGAGCUUGCUCUUACGGGUGGCGAGUGGCGGACGGGUGAGGAAUACAUCGGAAUCUACUUUGUCGUGGGGGAUAACGUAGGGAAACUUACGCUAAUACCGCAUACUACCUACGGGUGAAAGCAGGGGAUCUUCGGACCUUGCGCGAUUGAAUGAGCCGAUGUCGGAUUAGCUAGUUGGCGGGGUAAAGGCCCACCAAGGCGACGAUCCGUAGCUGGUCUGAGAGGAUGAUCGGCCACCCUGGAACUGAGACACGGUCCAGACUCCUACGGGAGGCCGCAGUGGGGAACAUUGGACAACGGUCGCAAGCCUGAUCCAGCCAUACCGCGUGGGUGAAGAAGGCCUUCGGGUUGUAAAGCCCUUUUGUUGGGAAAGAACAGCAGCAGGUUAAUACCCCGCUGUUCUGACGGUACCCAAAGAAUAAGCACCGGCUAACUUCGUG